rnacentral:rRNA from 1 species
GACGAACCGUGCGAACGUUGUUCGGAUUCACUGGGCUUAAAGGGCGCGUAGGCGGGCGCACAAGUCGGGGGUGAAAGCCCACGGCCCAACCGUGGAAGGGCCCCCGAUACUGGGCGCCUCGAGUGGGGUAGGGGCACGCGGAACUUCCGGUGGAGCGGUGAAAUGCGUAGAUAUCGGAAGGAACGCCGGUGGCGAAAGCGGCGUGCUGGGCCCCAACUGACGCUGAGGCGCGAAAGCCAGGGGAGCAAACGGG